rnacentral:misc_RNA from 1 species
GAUGAAGAACGUAGCGAAAUGCGAUAAGUAAUGUGAAUUGCAGAAUUCCGUGAAUCAUCGAAUCUUUGAACGCACAUUGCGCCCUCUGGUAUUCCGGGGGGCAUGCCUGUCCGAGCGUCAUUUGCAACCCUCAAGCCCGGCUUGUGUGAUGGGUGCCGUCCCCUACGGGACGCGCCCCGAAGGCAAUGGCGGCGUCGCGGUUAUCCGAUCAGCCAAAGUGUAUGGGGCUUUGUCACUCACUUUACGGCCCGGACCGGCGCCAGUCCGAAUCAAUCUUUUUUCUAAAGUUGACCUCGGAUCAGGCAGGGAUACCCGCUGAACUUAAGCAUAUCAAAAGCGGAGGA